rnacentral:misc_RNA from 1 species
UGGUGUACUCGUACAGUGCGG